rnacentral:rRNA from 1 species
UACGGAGGUCCCUAGCGUUGUUCGGAAUUACUGGGCGUAAAGGGGGCGCAGGCGGACAGGUCAGUGGAAAGUGGAAGCCCAGGGCUCAACCCUGGAACGCCUUUCCAUACUGCUUGUCUUGAGUUCGUGAGAGGAGAGCGGAAUUCAGGGUGUAGCGGUGAAAUGCUUAGAUAUCCUGAGGAACACCAAUGGCGAAAGCAGCUCUCUGGCACGUUACUGACGCUGAGGCCCGAAAGCGUGGGGAGCGAACGGGAUUAGAUACCCCGGUAGUCCACGCCGUAAACGUUGUGCACUAGGUGCAGGAGGUAUCGACCCCUUCUGUGCCGCAGCUAACGCAUUAAGUGCACCGCCUGGGGAGUACGCUCGCAAGAGUGAA